GUCGGUUCAUGAGGUUUAAGGAAAGAAGCCAUCUCCGUAACAUAAAAAGUUCAAGACAAAACAGCAAGUACUGAUGUAGAAGCAAUAAGACCAAAUUAUCAA